rnacentral:rRNA from 1 species
AACGAACGCUGGCGGCAUGCCUAACACAUGCAAGUCGAACGAGACCUUCGGGUCUAGUGGCGCACGGGUGCGUAACGCGUGGGAACCUGCCCUUAGGUUCGGAAUAACUCCCCGAAAGGGGUGCUAAUACCGGAUAAUGUCUUCGGACCAAAGAUUUAUCGCGUUUGGCUGGGCCCGCGUUGGAUUAGCUGGUUGGUAGUGUAAAAGCCUACCAAGGCGACGAUCCAUAGCUGGUCUGAGAGGAUGAUCAGCCACACUGGGACUGAGACACGGCCCAGACUCCGACGGGAGGGAGGAGUGGGGAAUAUUGGACAAUGGGCGAAAGCCUGAUCCAGCAAUGCCGCGUGAGUGAUGAAGGCCGUAGGGUUGUAAAGCUCUUUUACCCGGGAUGAUAAUGACAGUACCGGGAGAAUAAGCUCCGGCUAACUACGUG